GCAUGACAGAAGUGCUCCAGUGUGACACCCAUACUACGAGCAAGGCCAAGAUUUCUUCUUCCAUUUAUCCCCUCUGCCUGUCCUUGCUCCUGCCUCACUGUUGACCGUGCAGCUCAUUAUUUGCCUAUCAGCUGCUUAGACAGGCACAGCAACCCAGCUUCACAGAGUCACACAAAUGCAGCAUAAACGAAAGCCACACACUGGAAAAAUAUUCUACAGCACGAGGGGAUAGGGGGUUGGAUUUGAGCAAAACAUAUAUGUAUGCAUGAAAUUCUUAAACAAUAAAUAAUCUUGUAAAUAUA